CUGCUCUAAAACGUCCGGUGUGUUCCGGCCCAAGUGCCUGCUCAGGUUUAAAGGGGGUUUCUUUUGCUAGUACUUAAAAAAGUUAAAAAUAAUCACUACUAUUAAAUAGAUCUUUAGUGUGUUUUAAAUGGCAAAAGCACUUCACUCAGAAUUGGUGAUUCUGUUUCAUGCGUGUGUUAAGUGGGGAUAGGUUUGUGGCAAGAGUUGGAUGCUGUUAUCUUGCUGAAUGGAGAAAGUAUAAUUUACUACAUGAUCAUGCUGUGGAGCAUUUCACUGAGUUUCUUCUGGGUGCCUGGAUUUUGUGACCGUUUGGUGGCCUUUAAGAAGAGACUUUAUGUUUUAUUUCAACAGGGUUAACAUAAACAUAGUGUUUUAAGCUUAAAAUGAUGGAAAACCCCUACGUAGAUCUUCCAACGUGGACAUUCCAACAGGAAGCUAUAAAGAGAAGUAAAAGUGACAGCACAUUAUCAGUGAAAAAUAAGACUAGGUUUAAAAAGAAUUACAGACGCUCUUCCAGGUGGCAGACCCGAGUCAGCCAGGAACUGUCAACCUGGAGAUGAAGUGCCUCGCUGGGUGGCCUGCGCAUCAUGUGUGAUGAGGGAAGUGCUCCUGCUGUCACUCAGUCAUGAAUUCCUGUGCGUGGUGGGUUCCAGCAGUCAGCCAGAGGCUAUCAUCAAACUUGUUUUGCUUUGUAUUAAAUUAAACUCACUAGAAACAGUGCAAGGUCAGGAAAGGCAGUUAUCAAGGCCUUCGACCUCUAAGACUUUACAUUUGCUGUGAGUAGACCUUAGCAUGCCAGGAGAAGUUUCUCAUCAAAACCCAGCUUCCAUCAGCAAAGACAGGAGGAAGCCAAGUCAGGACCAGAGCCCCCUCUCUCCUGUAGACGGAGGAUACAUUCAGGAACUCAGAACCUGGAGGAGAGAAUGUUCAAACCAGAAGGCCCCUGGAAGACUGUGCCUGAAACGCGGCUAAGGCACCACCAGGCUGAACAGAAAACGGGGGCCUUAUCAGAGAGAAGGGAAGGGCCCCAUAGUCCAAACGCCCAGGAGGCUCCGACCUGACCCGCGGCCACGAGUGUUUGCUGCAGGACGAGAAUCUGGGGAAGAUGCAGCCAAGAAAAUGGCCUGGCCGGGCCGGGAAGAGCAGCCCACAGAGACCCGCAGCACAGAGAGGGAUGCGGGGAGCCUGCCCUGGGAGCCACCCCGGCUGAGGCUCAGGAGGGGAGCUGCGAAGCCUGAAACCCAUCGAUGAUGGCUGGUGAUGAAAACAUGUGGGUGGACCUGCUUUGAUGGCGAGAUGGACAGGUCUGAGCUCACACAUCCUCGGGAAAACAAAUAAAACUCUGUGGAAAUGGACAUGAGACACUGGGCCCUCAUUCCCCAACUUGUAGAGAUGACUGAGAAAAGCUUCCAGAAACUCGAGGACAUCACAACUUCCAGCUGGGUCAAACUCAGGGUGCUGUGAGGCCUGGGCAGAGAGACCCCCAGGGUUUCCCAGGGAUGGCGGAGUCUCUGGAGGAAGGAGACACCAUGAAGAUGGGGAUGGAAGCUGCCUGCCCCAUGGAGAGGGGAGGGGGCCGGCCACUCUCACCCCUCGAACAAAAACCGGGUGGAACCUGAGAGGAGCAAAGAAACAAACACAACCCUCACACACCUCAGGACACACACACAACACCUCACACACCUCAGGACACA
rnacentral:lncRNA from 1 species